rnacentral:rRNA from 1 species
GAUGAACGCUGGCUACAGGCUUAACACAUGCAAGUCGAGGGGAAACGACGGGGAAGCUUGCUUCCCCGGGCGUCGACCGGCGCACGGGUGAGUAACGCGUAUCCAACCUGCCUCUGACUGAGGGAUAACCCGUCGAAAGUCGGCCUAAUACCUCAUGGCAUCGUCUGCGGGCAUCCAACGACGAUUAAAGAUUUCAUCGGUCAGGGAUGGGGAUGCGUCUGAUUAGCUAGUUGGCGGGGUAACGGCCCACCAAGGCGACGAUCAGUAGGGGUUCUGAGAGGAAGGUCCCCCACAUUGGAACUGAGACACGGUCCAAACUCCUACGGGAGGCAGCAGUGAGGAAUAUUGAGCAAUGGGCGAGAGCCUGAACCAGCCAAGUAGCGUGCAGGAUGACGGCCCUAUGGGUUGUAAACUGCUUUUAUGCGGGGAUAAAGUGAGGGACGUGUCCUUCAUUGCAGGUACCGCAUGAAUAAGGACCGGCUAAUUCCGUG